rnacentral:lncRNA from 1 species
CUGCAAGGGGACAGAGACCUGUGCAGCUUGGAUACCCAGGACCUACAAGAUCAACUAAAAAGGUCAGAGGCAGAGAAACUCACCCUGGUGACCAGAGUACAGCAGUUGCAGGGUUUGCUUCAAAAUCAAUCCUUACAGCUUCAAGAACAGGAGAAACUCUUAACAAAGAAAGUGCAGAGAACUGCAUUCAGAAUUAGACAACCUCAGUGACGAGUAUCUCUCCUGCCUGCGUAAGCUGCAGCACUGUCGAGAAGAGCUGAACCAGAGCCAGCAGCUGCCUCCCAGAAGGCAAUGUGGGCGAUGGCUCCCAGUGCUGAUGGUGGUGAUUGCUGCAGCACUGGCAGUGUUCCUGGCCAAUAAAGACAACCUGAUGAUCUGAAUAAUUUGUGACAACUGCCUUGGGUGAAAAUCAGAAGCAAGCAACUCAGCGAAAAACUCAGAAGGUUUGGGUACAUUACAGCUUGGGUUUUCCAACUGACUUAGGAUUUCUGACUUUUUAUUAAUUUCUUAACCUACUGUAAAUAAACUUCACCUGACCAGAUUGUUCCUCA